CCUACGGGUGACAGCAGUGAGGAAUAUUGGUCAAUGGGCGCGAGCCUGAACCCGCCAAGUAGCGUGAAGGAUGACUGCCCUACGGGUUGUAAACUUCUUUUAUAAAGGAAUAAAGUGAGGCACGUGUGCCUUUUUGUAUGUACUUUAUGAAUAAGGAUCGGCUAACUCCGUGCCAGCAGCCGCGGUAAUACGGAGGAGCCGAGCGUUAUCCGGAUUUAGUGGGUUUAAAGGGAGCGUAGAUGGGUUGGUAAGUCAGUUGUGAAAGUUUGCGGAUCAACCGUAAAAUUGCAAUUGAUACUGGCAGUCUUGAGUACAGUUGAGGUAGGCGGAAUGCGUGGUGUAGCGGUGAAAUGCUUAGAUAUCACGAAGAACCCCGAUUGCGAAGGCAGCUUACUAAACUGUGACUGACAUUGAUGCUCGAAAGUGUGGGUAUCAAACAGGAUUAGAUACCCGAGUAGUC
rnacentral:rRNA from 1 species